GCACCCGCCGUCCCAGUCCCCCCGGGAGGGCGGAGCUGGCUGUCAGGCGGGUCGACCUGCCGGCACUUUUCUGCUCUGAGUUGUUGGCUUCUGGGGGUGGAGCCGCUCCCAGACCUUUGAAGGAAAUACCUCUUGUUAAAUACCUGAAUGCUCACACCACAUAGUUCUACUUAGGUGGAAGCUCAUCUGCAAUACUACCUCUUGAAGGAAAGCAGGUGGGAAUGAAUCCCCUGAAACCUUUGACUUGCUGAAAGCCUAAUCUGAGUUUCUAGACUAGACCACAAUCUCCAUCCAAACAGGUUUAUGAUAGAAUCCAUGUCAGAUCAGCAUACAACUCUGGAGAGUGACAAGCACAGUGUUUUCCCAAAGUGAUUGAGUCAAAUGCUGAUUAAAUGAAUCUACGUAUUUUUCUGUUUGAAACACUACCUGAUGAUUGUGUUAGAAAGUUGUUCGACCAGGAGUUUGACUGGGAGUCCGGGAGUUCAACCGCUUGCUGACCAUCAGGGGGUGGCACAGAACAUGGUGGGUGUCGGCGACACAGUGCUGGCAGCAGGUGGUGGCCCCAACGAGAGUGGGACCAAGGCAGGAUGGUAGAGCAGAAACUUAAUAUAUCAUUUUAAGAAAGGAAAGGAAGAAAUAAAGAAGGAAGGAUGAAAAGGCACCGUAUAUGGAGAAAUUAUUAUUGUCACACCCCAAGCCUGCAGUGAGGUCAACUGUGGGAUCAAUAACAACUCUGCUCCAUCAGAUAAUGAAUCUAAAUGAGAAUUGCCACUGUUAAUCAGGAAAUACUCAGUUGUACAGGAACCAUGUGCUUAGAAUUUAAUAGAGCCUGGAUACACCUGGAAAGAUUGUCAGGUUGUGCCUGGUGCUGAUUCAUCAUUUUGCUGCUGACACCCAUAACAUUGCAGAUGCUUCUGCUCAGGUGCUAAGUCAUCUGUACAUGCACAGUGAAGUAUUUUGGUACUGACAGAACAUAUAAUUAGUAUCUAUUCUUGGGAAAGGAUGUCAUCCGCAUGACUGACAUUUUAGGUAGAAGUUCCUUUAGAAUACAGGAAAGGGAAUGGAGGUGUUCUGAGGACAGCCCUCUCCCUGCUGCUGACAAAA